AUGAACGCUAGCGACAGGCCUAACACAUGCAAGUCGAGGGGCAACGGGGCGUAGCAAUACGCUGCCGGCGACCGGCGGAUGGGUGAGUAACGCGUAUGCAACCUGCCUUCAGGCAGGGGGAUAGCCCGUUGAAAGACGGAUUAAUACCCCAUAACACAGGGGCUCCGCAUGGAGAUUAUUGUUAAAGGGAUGCUUCCUUCGGGGGUAUUCCGGCUGAAGAUGGGCAUGCGUUCCAUUAGGUAGUUGGUUGAGGUAACGGCUCACCAAGCCUGCGAUGGAUAGGGGAACUGAGAGGUUGGUCCCCCACACUGGUACUGAGACACGGACCAGACUCCUACGGGAGGCAGCAGUGAGGAAUCUUGGUCAAUGGACGGAAGUCUGAACCAGCCAUGUCGCGUGAAGGAGGACGGCCCUAAGGGUUGUAAACUUCUUUUGCAGCGGAAUAAAGUAUUCCACGUGAUGGGAUAUUGCAAGUACGCUGCGAAUAAGGAUCGGCUAACUCCGUG
rnacentral:rRNA from 1 species